rnacentral:rRNA from 1 species
ACGAACGCUGGCGGCGCGCCUAACACAUGCAAGUCGAACGAGCGAGAGAGAGCUUGCUUUCUCGAGCGAGUGGCGAACGGGUGAGUAACGCGUGAGGAACCUGCCUCAAAGAGGGGGACAGCAGUUGGAAACGACUGCUAAUACCGCAUAAGCCCACGACCCGGCAUCGGGUAGAGGGAAAAGGAGCAAUCCGCUUUGAGAUGGCCUCGCGUCCGAUUAGCUAGUUGGUGAGGUAACGGCCCACCAAGGCGACGAUCGGUAGCCGGACUGAGAGGUUGAACGGCCACAUUGGGACUGAGACACGGCCCAGACUCCUACGGGAGGCAGCAGUGGGGAAUAUUGCACAAUGGGGGAAACCCUGAUGCAGCGACGCCGCGUGGAGGAAGAAGGUCUUCGGAUUGUAAACUCCUGUUGUUGAGGAAGAUAAUGACGGUACUCAACAAGGAAGUGACGGCUAACUACGUGCCAGCCGCCGCCGUAA